GAUGAACGCUAGCUACAGGCUUAACACAUGCAAGUCGAGGGGUAACGAGAGGAAGGCUUGCUUUCCUUGUCGACGACCGGCGCACGGGUGAGUAACGCGUAUCCAACCUGCCCCCAACUAGGGAAUAACCUUGCGAAAGUAAGACUAAUACCCUAUAAUUUCCUCAGAUGACAUCUGACGAGGAAUAAAGGUUUAUCGGUUGUGGAUGGGGAUGCGUCUGAUUAACUUGUUGGCGGGGUAACGGCCCACCAAGGCAACGAUCAGUAGGGGUUCUGAGAGGAAGGUCCCCCACAUUGGAACUGAGACACGGUCCAAUCUCCUACGGGAGGCAGCAGUGAGGAAUAUUGGUCAAUGGGCGGAAGCCUGAACCAGCCAAGUAGCGUGCAGGAUGACGGCCCUAUGGGUUGUAAACUGCUUUUAUACAGGAAUAAAGUUAGCCACGUGUGGUUAUUUGUAGGUACUGUAUGAAUAAGGACCGGCUAAUUCCGUGCCAGCAGCCGCAGUAA
rnacentral:rRNA from 1 species